UGCCGCGUGUGUGAAGAAGGCCUGCGGGUUGUAAAGCACUUUCUAUUGGGAAGAAAAGCAGACGGUUUAUACCCGUUUGCCGGGACGUUACCUUUACAGGAAGCACC
rnacentral:rRNA from 1 species